rnacentral:ribozyme from 1 species
CUCCCUUCAAAAACUCUCUCUCUCUCGUUCCUUCUUUCUCUAAGUUUCUCCCGUACAUACAGCCGCAUGCACGUGAACUGAGCUCGAUAUCCUCACAU